rnacentral:rRNA from 1 species
UACGAAGGGGGCUAGCGUUGCUCGGAAUUACUGGGCGUAAAGGGCGCGUAGGCGGCACUGUUAGUCAGGCGUGAAAGUCCUGGGCUCAACCUGGGAACUGCGCUUGAUACGGCAGAGCUAGAGGAUGGAAGAGGCUCGCGGAAUUCCCAGUGUAGAGGUGAAAUUCGUAGAUAUCGGGAGGAACACCGGUGGCGAAGGCGGCGACCUGGUUCGAUACUGACACUGAGGUGCGAAAGCGUGGGGAGCAAACAGG